rnacentral:lncRNA from 1 species
AGAGCUACAGCGGUCUCCGGGUGGCGAAGUGCGGAGACGGGGUUUUGGAGACGGUGGAUGGAGGAGGGGGAGGGAAAGCUGCCAACUUUGGAUACCAACCCCGUACACCCACCGAAGGGGAUGUCCCACUUUUUCCAGCGCUGGGAGCAAAAAGAUAACAGUGAGCGAGGUUGAAAACACCUGACAGUGAAAAGAGCAAUUUGAAGAAAAACAAAAUUUAUCUUCAAUGUGAAAAGCAAUUUAUAAAAAUCCGAAUACUUGCCAGGAGCAACUUGACAAAAAAGACAAAGGUGGUAGAAGAAAUGUAACCAGCCCACAAUUCCAAUGUUGAUAACAGAUGAGCUCCCUUUCAAGGUGACUGACAUUUACACAAGUACACAGAGCAAGAAGAAGGUCUGAGUGAACUGCCAAGCAUUUUAACUUCUCCUGAGACCAAGUACAUCAACAGUUCUCUUGGAAAAGAACAACUGAUUUGGGAGUCUAGCAGACUGCCAGCUGCAAGACAUUCAUCCAGCAUCAGGAACACAAUGGGCCUUCAUUUGCCUGCCUUUCUGAGGGCACCAAUCAAAAGUAACAGCUGCCACCUUUUUCUAUGAGACUUGAUUAUAAUUUUCUAUGGCCAAGGGUUUGCUGUGACACUUCCACAUCAUUCUUCAGUAUGUAGUCCAGAGAUUAGCUACAGAUUCAAGAAACACAGACUGUAAACUAUUAUAUACAGACAUAUCUCAAAAUAAGCAUACCCAUUAGUGCCAGCUGCCCUGAAAGACUGAAUGACCCCAGCUAUUUUCCAAAUGUUUUUUCAGAAAGCCAUGAACACACCUUUCUGGGAUCCUAUCUAUUUCAAAGACAGGCAAAGCUCUGUGGUUCAGUUCCACCACCCAGUACCAAGCCCACAGUAUGCAGACCAUACGCCUUACACAUGGCCUUUUCUCUUUAUGUAAUUGCUGUACCAUAUUCAGCAGAUCUAGACUGACUCAAAGCAUGUUCCCUCAAGAAGCUCCACAGAAAAAAAGGGAGUCUACUCCUAUGUAAAUCUUCUGCAGGUUGUGCAGUGGACUUCACCUAGUCUCCCAUCUCCAGCUAAUUUGGCCAAGAAUAGUCACCUGGCGCAAGGUGGGGAGGGAGCUCUCAAUUGGCCAGCAACUUCUGACGUGUGACCUGACUGAACAAUGAGAGGCUCGAGUGAAAUUACCAGCUGGUAGUAGGACAGAGGAUAUAGAUACAUGGAAUGGAGCUGAGCCAAAUUAAUGACAAAGGACUAGACAAGAAUGACUGUUGAUGAUCACCUAUGCUGAGAUCACAAAGCUGCCCCGAGUCCAGAAGCAGGUUCACUGAGGGAGGCUCAACCAUGUUACCAAUCUUGUUUGAGAUUAAUGUUCCUUGUUGUAAACCUCAAGUCUGUUUCUUGCAAUCAAACCAUUCUAAAUUGAAACAA